UGGGGGAUAUUGCACAAUGGGGGAACCCUGAUGCAGCGACGCCGCGUGGGUGAAGGAGUGCUUCGGCAUGUAAAGCCCUAUCGGCAGGGAAGAAUAUGAUGGUACCUGACUAAGAAGCCCCGGCUAACUACGUGCCAGCAGCCGCGGUAAUACGUAGGGGGCAAGCGUUAUCCGGAUUCACUGGGUGUAAAGGGAGCGUAGACGGCCAUGCAAGCCUGGAGUGAAAGCCCGGGGCCCAACCCCGGGACUGCUCUGGGAACUGCAUGGCUGGAGUGCGGGAGGGGCAGGCGGGAAUUCCUGGUGUAGCGGUGAAAUGCGUAGAUAUCAGGAGGAACACCGGCGGCGAAGGCGGCCUGCUGGACCGCGACUGACGUUGAGGCUCGAAAGCGUGGGGAGCGAACAGGAUUAGAUACC
rnacentral:rRNA from 1 species